UCUCCCAGUCUCCUCUCCUCACAAGGAGGCAGCAAAUACAGCCGUUGCCACAAGGGGGCGCACUUUCUCCCCGACCCAGGGUUUCCACCCUGGUGUUUCCCACCAACCAGCAGGAAGGGCCCUCUCUGUCAUUACCCGGGCGUCUUUGGCAGAAAGGGAAAACAACUGCAGCCACACUCGCAUGGUUUCUGUAAAUCCCACAUCUUUCUCUCUGGAUCCUCCACCCCAGGAAUCAAAAAGAGCAAAUGAUUCCACGUUCAUUUCACAGAAAACUGCAAAAGGACAGAAAAGCCAGAGAACCCUCAGUUCUGACUUUAGGAAAGCCCUGGACUUGGACGCUAUCCCUGACUUCCCCGUCACCAAAGGGUUAUGAAGACAAAGAGAAACGUGCAUGAAAGAGACUGACAGCUGGACUCUACUCUAGACCAAGAAGACACAACAAAAGCAAAAGGAAUGCAGAAUUAAAACUGAAAGGAAAUUACAUGAAGAGUAAGAGGGAAAGGACUCCAUAGUCUGCUUACAACUCGUUUGGGAGGCUAAUUUCAAAGUCUCAAGCCUUAUGGUUUAGCCUAUCUAGAAUUUUCCAUAAGCUUCCCAGGGCUCUGGGUCAGCCACAAAAUGGCUCUCUCAGUUUCUUAAGCUGAAAUCAACAAGACUGUUCAUACUCUGGCAAAACACUCCCCCUCACCUAAGCAGAUCACAUACGGCUCAGAAUGUCACCAGUGAGACAGAGGCUCCCAGGGCCACUAAUGGGCUUUAAAGAAUAUUAAUGCUUAAGGACAGCAACACAGGUCAUUUUGCACAGCAGUUACUUUAAUCGCCACGCCCGGGCUCCAUCCAAGCAGCAGCAGCGUUUCCUCAGCAGCCUCCUCCCUCCAAAAGUCCCUCAGUGACCGCCGCCGGGAGACUGCUCAAAGCACAUGCCGUCUACUUCACAUGGAGCCAGUUCCUGAAUGUCACCUGGCAGUCAUCCAGUGACACCUCCCAAGAUUAUGUUACUUUGGUAUUUGAUACCCAGUGGGUGUUGACAGUUACUACCAGACCUUCUCAGGAGCCCGUGUCACCUUCAUUAACACGCGUGACCCCCAUGGGUGGAGGCCUUGUUGUGUAGUGCUCCUUACUGACAAAACCAAGGGAAUCUUAGUAGUUCAGCUGGUUCUCCCAACUCCACUCCACUGAAACAAAACCGAGUUCUGGACAGUGAUAUGUGUCAAGCUGCCAUCAAAAACCGUUAUAUGGUUUUUAAUAUAACUAGGUGGCUCUGUGCUGCAGAUCAGACUGCCAGGUGUGGGGUCCCCUUACUAUGUGGAACAGGAUUCAAGGAUCACUUCUCCCUCUGGAUUAGCUGUAUGGAGAAUUCUACUUGCCCCAGGUCCCAGGAGAACAGAGAGUGAGCCCCCACUAUACAUUCAUGAGAGAUGUCACACAGGGCGACAGUGGCUACUUUUGCUCAACAGGACUGGCUCAUUCCACCAGUCAUCUUCAAGCCCAAGGGCACAGGAAUGCUCUCCGGUUCCAGAGUAAGAGGCAGAAUACAGCCUGAUACCUGAGGGCAUACACUGAUGUUUUCUAAUUGUCAGGGGUCAGGGGCCAGACUGAACACAUCCAGUCAUUAAAUGGAAACAGAAGCCAUCUGGGUUAGCAGUGGCUGUCCCUGGUUAUAAUAUGUCAGAAAAGGACGCUACGACCACAAAACUAAAUCCAGGAGGCUUACAUGACUUCACCCCAACAAGGAAUACUGAAAUAUAUCUCAGCAGAAGCUACUCUUAAAACAAUGCUGGGACUCUGUCCAAAGGCUGACACACAUUCUUGUUGCUUGCGUGUGCUGCAAACUGUACGUCUCUAGGACAAGAGUCCUGUUUAAAAUUUACAUUGAGAUUGAUGCUGACUCAACACAUUAUUAAAGUGGAACUCCAGUAGAUA